GGGCGGUUAGCUCAGCUGGUCAGAGCGUCACGUUUACACCGUGAAUGCCGGGGGUUCGAGUCCCUCACCGCCCA
rnacentral:tRNA from 2 species